UAGGUCUCGAACCACAAAGCAUCGUUGGGUCAGCUGAGAUCACAAGUAGCUCAACACAGACAGUACUUUAAAACAAAGUAUGGGUGUGAACAAAAACAAGCAGGGUGUGAAAUAAACAGUGUAGUCCAGAAGUAGAGCAGCACUCAGAAAUGAUCUGCAGGGAAACGAGAGAAGUGUGUGGAAAAGAAUGCAGUUUUAUUCAUACGGUGAGUAAUGUAGAGUUAAGUUAGACGAGCGCGCCCUCGUGUGGUGGGAGCGGGUGCAUGUCUUUUUACUGUUAAAGGGACAAGUUCACCUAAAAAUGACGAUUCUGUCAUCAUUUCCUCAUCUUCGAGUUGUUCCAAAUCUGUUUAAAAGUCUUUGUUCUGAUGAACACAGAGAAAGAUAUUUGGAAGAAUGCUCAUAACCAGACAGAUUUUGCCCCCCAUUCACUUCCAUAGUAGGAAAAAUUACUACACAAAAGAAGAUAUUUUGAAGAAUGUAGGACAGCAAACAGUUCUGGGGCACUUUUGACUACCAUUGUAUUUUUUCCUACUAUGGGGGUCAAAAUCUGUCUGGUUAUGAGCAUUCUUCCAAAUAUCUUUCUCUGUGUUGAUCAGAACAAAUAAAUUCGUACAGGUUUGUAACAACUCGAAGGUGAGGAAAUGACAGAAUUUUGGGUGAAGUGUCAUUUUUAAUAGUUACUCUAAAAGUACCGUCUUGUGUAAUAUUGUUUUAUGGUCAAAGUGAUGGAAUGAUGUUUAUGAAAGACAUAAUAAAGUUUCAAUAGUAAUGUAUUCUGCAGUAACAACAGUACUGAAAGUGUACAGUUAUUUUUAUGAAUGUCUAUUUUGCGUUACAGCACAUUGGGUAGUACCAGUGUCUUGUGCUGCUGGAUCUGUGAUGAUCGCAGCUGCACUUCUGAUCUUCUGCAUCUGCAGGAAACACAGACAAACACAACAACACGAAACAGUUCAGACUGAUGAAGAGGAGAUCACUUAUGCAGAUCCAACAUUCUGUAAAAGACGUGCACAUCAACCGAGAGCUGCAGUGGAAGAUGAUGUGGUGUACGCAGGAGUCAUGAGAAGAUGAUUCUGAGAUUCUCAGACUGAUGCUAAACUAUAAACUACGACUGCUUUUAAAUAUGCUUUUACUUGUUAUGUGAAAUGCAAGUGUGCAUGUAUGCUAACUGUCAUUUUAUUUAUAUAGAACAAUUAAAAGAACACAUGUUGACCAAUGUGCUUAACAUGUAAUCUUAACAAUGAGAUUGAUAAAACACUAAUAAAACAGAAGUCACUGAUUAAAGUCAUAUGAUAAAGCUCUCAGACAGCGGCAGCAGGCGGGCUAGUCCAGUGUUUGAUAACCGCUACAGCAGAAGUCCGGAUCACAGACCUCAGAACUUCAACACUUUCAUUGCAUAAAAGCAUCAGAAGGUUCUUUACAAUUGCUCACUCGAAAAGUAGUUAAAUCUGUCCCACUAGAUUAAAGCACUUGUCACACAAAUGUAUUCUUUUAUACGGUGUUUUUAAGUGUUGCAAUUUCAGUUUCACACUAUUGUAAAGUGCUACUGUAAAACACUUCUCUGUAAAAUAACGGUAAAUUACUGACAGCACAGACGCCAGUAAUCUACUGUUAUUCUACGGUAUGAAUACUGUGAAGUUGCUUUACAGUUUUUUACUGUAAACACAAAAAAACUGUAUUUUACGGUUUACUAUUUAUUAAUUUUGUACAGUAAAAUCCUGGCAGUAAUCGUCUGUAAUUCUACCGUAUGAAUACUGCGAAACUGAUUUACAGCUUAUUACUGUGAAAAUGACAAACAGUAUUUUCCAGUCAUUUUUCUUAUUUUAAGCAGAGAUGCCAGCAAUAUUCUGUAGUUCAAUGAAUACUUUGAAAUUACUUUCUAGCCAUAUUCUGUCAAAAAAUAUAUGAAGUUUUUCUGUAAUUAUUAAAAUUUUAUAAUACACUAAAAUAUGGUGAGGUAAAAACAAUCCAAUCAGUUAUUUUGGCAACACUCUUAU